rnacentral:tRNA from 1 species
GCCUCCAUGUUGUAACUAGGUAGCCAAGGUAGACUUAAAAUCUACUGAACAGUAAUGUUCGUAUGGGUUCGAAUCCCAUUGGAGGUA